AAACCCUUAAGAUUAUUGAAGUGGGUUCUUACAAAUUAUGAAGGAUAUUGAAGAGUUUCCUGUAGUUCAACGCCUUAGAGGUCGUCGUCAUUGUCUGAGCGACAACGACUGUGUGGCGAAGGUGGUCUUCCACGGAAAUUACACAAUCAGUACUUUAGACAAGUGCAGUGAAGGAAAGGCCCAUAAGAUUGCAACUUCAAGUGCAAACAUUACAAAACAGCCGCAGUAUAAUUGUCAGGGUCAAGGUCAUUCAGAGGUCAACCAGAAGAAAAACCUGGCCAACCAGGCCAAUCGGAGAGCAGUGGAGAGAAAUGGUGAAAAUUUACAAGUGACGUCUUGCAACAAAAGGGAGAGUCGUGAAGAUACGAAAAAUAUUACAUGUAGAAAAAUGAAGAUACCUGACAGUGUGUCUGCAUCAAACUCAGACAGCAAUAAGAUUUACCAGGAGAAAAGCAAAGAUGGCCAAACGAAAAAAUAUGAAGGAAAGAAUGUAGAAAAUGAAAGUAAGAAAAUGAAAGUAGAUCCUAGUGGACAUUAUGAUUUCCCAACAGAGACUGGGAAAGAGAAGUCUGAAUAUAAAGCAAAGAUUUUGGGCCAGGAAGAAAAGAAAGACAGAGAGAAAAGAGACAAAUCCGAGAUAGACAGAAAAAACAAAGAAAGGCAGAUCAAAAUAAGAAUGAAUGGAAGGAAAGAGACAUCCCCCAAGGAAUUGGUUUGUGACCCCAUGGAGAAGGUGGCCAGAUAUUGUGAAUAUCUAGAACCAAAGAACUGGACAACCAUAAGAGAUAUCCAUACUAAAGAUGACAACAGGUUCAAAGAAGAGGGGGAUAAAAGCUUAAAAUCAGAGAAGGGUACCAGCUUUAAUGAGUUGAAGAACCAGCCAAAGGAAUGCCAUAGAAGCACACCAAAGACCUGGAUUCCAGAAAAACAAGUGACGAAUGGCAUAAGUCAUCAGACUCACCAGCUGCACAGGCAAAAGAGUGCUGAGGAACACAUGGGGGAUCUAGGAAACCUUGUGGGGGAUCUAAACUCUUCUCUGUGGGGCCUCGUGUCCUUGACCUCUCAGAGGGACAUGACCUUUACACCUGAAAAGCUCUUCAUUAAAGGCAAAUUUAAUGAAUACAGAGAAAAAUCAGAUGAAGAAAAUCUCAGUUUAAGAGAGCCAGCUUUCGAGACCAAAGAAAUGAGAGAAGCGCUGAAGGUAGAUAAGAAAGCUGGCUUUAAUGAGGACUUUGCCCCUGAGAAAGGGGAGAGGGAAAUGGAGCGUGACCCUGACACUAUCAGUCACCCUAAUGACCUUCAGAAAGAGAUGGCUGACCUUGAGAAGGAAAUUGAACAGACAGAAAAAACAUUGCAAGAAAUUCAGGAGAGCAUCAAUCGCCUUGAAUUUAAAUGGUCUUUAUGGAUAUCAGAAAUCGUGGAAGAAAAGCUACAAGUAUGCACAGAAUAUCAAAGUACAUCUACUAUAUUGAAAGUACACAAGAAAAGAAGAACCAAGGGUACAGAACAGUAUCACAUUCAUACGACAGCUUUAAGGUUCCCCUCAUCUGAUCAGAGAAGAAAGGGAGAUAACUUGUUUAGUUUAGACCCCACAGACAGCGAUGGCAGGGGACAUCACUCCUACAGAGGCAGGAAAUCCAGUGGAGAUGAUCUAAGUGAGAAAGAAAACAGAAAUCAUGAUGAUGAGAAAGAUAGAGACGAGAAGGAGGAUCCUCCUCUGAACAGAAAAGGACCGGCACAGGAGCUGUUUGGACGAUCAAGGGAAGUCACUCCAAAGGAGAUGGGUGUGGAUCCCAACUACAAGUAUCGUAGAAAACACGGCCAGCUCCGAGAUGGACUGAGACCAUUGUCUGACUAUCUCGGACAGUUACUUCUUAUGGAUCAGGAUAUUCCUCCAGAUUUAUUGGCGGAGAUGAAGGGCUUUAUAGAGGACGUUAAUCCAUGUCUCAUACUCUGUUUGAAAAAACAGACAGAAAAUGACCUUGAACUUUGUGACAUAUGUACCUGCCUGACGGCCUUGACCUCCCACUUUGGCAACUGUAACAGCGAAGUCAUGAAAUGUAACCUCUGCACUCAACUAUUCCGACUCGUACAACAGCAUGUACUUCUUUGUCGAGAAAAUAACAGCAGUACUUCCUGUCCCGUUCUUGUCUGUCGCAAAAUCUCGUUUUUGAUCGACGUAAAUCCAGAACUGAUCUUCACCAAAGAGGGCAAGAUUUGGAGGAAGUUGAAGAAGUACAUGGGCGGGUUUAUUCAAAGUAGAAAAGAGAAAACAGAUACCAAAGUUGAAGACUCCGGGGAUACCUAUUUUUCGAUGACGAGUUUGACCAGCAUCAGUCCUUUCGGCUUCCAGAGUUUAGGUAGUCCAGUGAAUCCUCCCUCAGCACAAAAAACUCAGCGUCCCAGCACGCUGUACAUGCCCUCCCUGCAAAUAAUCCCGGAGGACCAGGACAGGAGUCUGAAUGUCCCAGACACCCACGAGACCCCCAGCCCCUCCAGGAUGUCCCGGUCCGAACCCAUUGUAAAGAAACGAGAUGACGGAACCAUUGAAAUUCUUAAAUCAAGUAUUCGUCCUAAGAUUCGACCAGGGAAACCUCUGCUAAAAUUUGGAUCUGUGGGGAAGUUAAAUGUACAUCCACCCUCUCCCAUGGUAACAGGGCCCCCACCCUCAUUUACCAUCCCCAAAAACGAGCAACUCAGGUCCCCCACUGGAGGGAAACCAGUCCGAAAAGUUUCCUUCAGAGCGGAAAGGCAACCAGUUGGUAAAUUUCGUGACGUAGAAGCAGAUGCCUUCCCAGAAGCCACCAGUUCAGUUCCAACACCCGUGGAGAGUGAAGAUACCUCUGAAUCGGAUUUUCAGUCAUCCGUACCCUCAGAACCAUCCUCGCUGGAAAAAAUUUACGGCCUCCAACUUCAGAGCAUACGAGAGGGAAGUCCGCGCUGGCAUAUUGAAGGGAACCAGUUUCUCUCCUUGAAAGAGAAACCUACAGGAUCUCCUGGAAUAGGGGAGGUAGUGUAUGGUUAUAGAGAUGUUUUACUUGAGCUCAUUAAGUACUGGGAGGAGUUGAGGCUGCAGUAUAAAGAGUUUGGAAGACUACUACAAAAGAGUGUCAAGGAGGAGGGAGUUAUCUACCCUGACUGUAAAAAAAAGCUGAUGAUCAUGGGACACAGAUAUCAGAAGGAUUUCCAGUGGGUUCGACUGACACACCUAGGACGGGGAAUGUUCGGGAACUGUCAUCUGGCUAGCGACUACAAUACUGACUACCACUUCUGUAUAAAAAAGAUACACAUCUCCAAGUACAGAGAAGACGAGAUAAAGAUUUGGUCAGACCUAGAUCAUCCCAACAUCGUCAAGUUCCAUGGAGCACUUCGACGAAAGGAGAAAAUCUACAUUAUUUCCGAAUUCAUUCCUGGAGGUAACCUAACUGCUGUCAUAAACGACCAGAAGACCCUGAUGAGACGCAUGAGUCAGAGAAAUGCUUUACGGCUAUUUAAUCAGCUUUUAAAAGUCCUGGUGUACCUUGAAAAGAAAUCUGUUAUUCAUGAGGACAUCAAAUCUGACAAUAUUCUCCUGAGGGAGGAUGGUAAGGAGAUUGUGGUGGCAGACUUUGGAGUGGCCAGGAGACAGACUACAAAGGUUUCCAAUCUUGUGGGCACACCCUCCCACUUCAGCCCAGAGAAAGCAGAGUGCAGUGGGCACAAUUUUAAAUCGGACCUAUGGGCAGCCAUGUGUGUCCUGGUGCACAUUUUGAGUGGGCACCCACCGUGGGUGAAGCGGUAUCCUAAUGCAACAGCCAUACAUUUCCUGAUUGCUACCAAGCCACCACCAGUAGAAGACAUUCCAAAGAACAUACACCAUGAGUUGCAGAACCUAAUUAAAAUUGGGCUCGAGAAACAACCAAAAAACCGACCAUCGGCUAAAGACCUGCUACAGCAUCAGGCAUUCCAACUCAUACAUGAUGGAGGAGACAAUCUCUACUCUGUUCUCAAUUCUGGGAGCUUGACUGAUGAUGACACACGUCUGCCAUUAAACACGCUGACGGGACCAACACAGGAAGUACUAGAAGAAGUGGAAGAAAGCCUGAACAAUCCAGAGGGAAUGUUUAAUCGUCUUGAAAUUAGGGAUAAUAUUACCAAUAUAUUGGGAAAGACCAACAAAAUGGAAGACACUGUUGCUGUCAAGUUGGAAAAAGGAGAAAGACUGAAAAAUGAAAUUCCUUCAGACAAUGUAGACUUGAUGGUUCCUUUGGGUGUAAUGGUCAGUGAGAAAGGAUCCACAGGCUUGGUCCCCAAGCUUGGAGAGUUAGGUUUUGAACAAAGUUCAAAAGAAUCUGCAAGUGGUGGAAACCCUUAUAUUGAGAGCUUGAAGAAGUCCAUCACAGCUACUCCAGAGGAAAUCUUCAAAGAAAGCAUGAAAGACCCAAAAUACUUUUUAUGGAAAUAUGUCCAUGACGAUUUGAGUGAUUUUCCUCACGUAAAUAUGAACCUGACAGUCCUUCCUCUUUAUUAUGGGGGAGAGACAGACAUGGAUCACAAGAGCAAUGCCGAAGAACCACCAGCAGACGAUGACAUAAAUAUCUCUGAAAACUUGUAUAAUAAUUUACCAUUGAUUGUUGACAAAUUUCUGUUGGAUGAUAAUGAGCAGAAGGAGGUAGACGAUGGGGAGGAGACAGAAAUAGACAGGCUUCUCGCAAGGGCUUUGAAUGAGCAGCUCUCCAAAACCAGCAGCACCAGUGAUCUGCUGGGAGUGAUGUCCCAGAGUUCUCAAAUCAAUAGUGGUAGUCACGGCAGCAGUGAAUUCAACCAGGACCACAUCAUUCAGACCCUGAUAGAGGAACCAGAAAAUGGGGUUGGGGCAGGAGGGGGGAGCGGUUCAAGAAGUCGGUCUGCGUCGACGAGAAGCGACGGGACCAGCAGCAAAUCCAAUCACUCCUCCAGCUCUGCCAUCAGUGAUUCGGUUUUAAAUAUUUUGGCAAAGCAUUCAGAUGGUGGUAAUGAAAGUACCAACAACAGUAACACAACAGUUGGAGGAAACCUUCCGAAUUCCAUCCUGUUUAACUUUGACAGCUCGACUUCUAAAUCCAGAUCAAGUGAAAGGUUCUUCACGCCAGAGGAGAAGAUUUCAGGGGAAGAUGAAGAGAAGAAGGAAGAAGCAGGGACCAAUGAAGAGAAGAAGGAAGAAAUGGGGACCAAUGAAGAGGAGAAAGAAACAGGGACCAAUGGCUUGCCUCAGGAGACAAGAGAAGAAAAGGAACAACACGUGCCUCAAGAUCUGAUGAAGGGGAAUCAGCCUGCUGGGGAUACAGUGACAAAGCCAUCAUCCAAAAUGAUCCCAAUUCAGUUUGGAAGAGAAGGCACUGGAACUCCCCCACUAAGCACCAUGUGGGAGGAAUGGAAUAAAGAUAAAAGUAUAUCAGAUGAUGACCUUUUUGCUAGUGAUGAGCCCACAACCAGCAAAUCUGGGGAUCUUACAAGCAAGUCUGAAGGGUCACUGAAAGGCUGCUCCAGUCUGAACUUAAGUGGACAAGAGUUUAGUGGAUCUCAAAGUGAGGUAGUGGCCCAAGAAAUAAGACCAUUCACCAUAGCUAAAGACCCAGAUGACCCUAGUAAGCAGACGGUUGUUGUGGACCCAGAUCCCAAUAAAGCUCUACCUACUCCCAUUAGUUUCAAGAGGGAACCUCUUAAACUGCAGAUUCAAAACCCAUCCAAACCAAGAGACAACCCAAAGCGGCUCUCCAACCCAGAGGCAAGGGUCCCAUACAGUCCAUUGACUCCCCAGAAGUACUUCACCCCACAAGUGACCCAGAGGAAGCCCCCCUUUGCUCUCACAACUCCAACCUCAGGGUACUAUACCUCGACCCCCGACAGCGUUUUUAGAGGGGCUUUCCCUUCCCCACGAUCAGCUUCUCCCAGAAGCCAGAAAGAGCAGGAUGAAGAGUAUGAGAAGCUGAUCCGAGAUUUGUCCGUUCACAGUGGGGAGCCCUUAAAUGAAUUGGAUGAACCAGUGCCAUACAAUAAUAUGGAGCCAUCUUUGACCGAGGAAGAGGAGUUCGAGUACAGCCUUCAGCUUGUCCGGGAUAGAUACAUCACAGUGGAUACUAAUGAUAAGAGCAUCAAAGUGGAAAUCCUGAAACUAGAUGGAAACCCAUUCACAACAAAGCUGCCAUAUGAGUACAGUAACCAGUCCUGGAAAAAUUUUGUGGAGGAAAACUUUUUGAGGAUGAAGACAAGUGGAGUAGACAUGCUGACAUUGUGUUUUAUGGAUAACAGAGCACUAGAUCUACAGGAGAAGCCAAUAGAUUGUCACCAGGACUACAGGGUGUCCCUAAAAGUGGUGGAAGUAACAGAAGAUGGCCGGGAUGACAUAGUAUGGUACUGUCAGAAUGGAAUCUGUAGAAGUGGGGGAGGAAUUCCUGUCUAAAAAUAAAGAAGAAAUUCUUGUCUAGAAAUAAAGUAGAAAUUCCUGUUAAAAAAUAUAGAAGCAGGUUUUGUCUAAAAAUAAAUCUGGAAUUUUAAUUUAAAAAGCAAAUUUUUUUUUUUUCAAAUUUGAUUAUAACUGCUUUUAUUGUUCAGAGGGAGAUUUCAAGCCCCCCCCCCCCCCAAGAAUAUUACUGGUAAUGGGUCCAAGAUACAUCAAUUGUAGCUUUUUUUGAUCAGAUAUUUGCAUUGUUGUUAUUUGCUAUAUAGACUACCAUUUUUUUUUAUAAAAUCAUUUUAAGAAAAGAUUUAACGUAAAUGUACGUCUUUGGUAUUUUGACAGAUAUAAUAAAAUCAAAAAAAAAUUCAUGUUUACAGCAAAGUAAAUUUUAUUCCGUAAACUUGUGAACCUUAAAAUUGUCUCUGGCAAUUUUGCUGUAAGCAAAUAAUCUAAAUGCAUUCAUGUAUGUAUAUUGCUAAGUACAUGUUUUAUUUUUUGCAUGUUUUGAAGAAUUUGGUUUAUGCUUUAUAACACACUAACAGUUAACACACUUAUGAAUUUACACUUAUACUGAAGUAAUUUUCAUUCCCCUUAGUUUUGAAUAGUAUUAUGAACUUAACAGAUAUAACAAAUUAAUUUUAUAAGGUAGCAAUUUUGUCGUCCCUAGCACUUGAUAAUAAGUGUGUUUCAUUGUAUUAUUAAAUUUUACACAAUAUGUUUUUUCCGGACAUAUAUAUAUAUACAGUCAAGUCAUGUUUAGCCAAAUGCUUCUUCAGCAAAUUGUCCAAAUUGACAAUUAAGGCAUCCUAAUAAUUUGAUAUAAAUUAGAUUUCAUUUUAUAAUUGAUACAAGUAGAUAUACAAGCAAAUUAAUUUGUUACUUCUUCCAAAUUCCAUUCAGAACAAUGUAGCCUCCAGAUCACUAGCAUCUUGAUGAAUAAGGUUUGACUGUUUGCAUUUUGAGGUUCAUGAAUUGUAUAUUUCUUGUUAAUAUAUCUAUAUAUAGCAAUAAAAUUAAUAACUUUUAGUAUGCAAUCUACUGUAUCAGAUUCUUCACAAAAAAGUUAAUGUAGCUAACCCAAAAAUAAAGGAUGGAUUUGUUAAUAUUCAUUUAAAAUAGAAAGAUGGCCAGGAGGUUAUACCAAAUCAAAAUCUGCUUUAUUUUUUCUUGCCUGAUGUGACUAUACAUUGUAAAGUCAUAGGUCUGUGCCAUAUUUUAGUGGGGGUUUUGUUGUUGGUUGGUUGUUUGGUUUUUUUUUCUUUGCUCUGAAUUUGGUCAUAUUUUUUUACAACGAAAAUUCAUUCGUUUUUGAAAAUAUUUUAGUUACCGGUAAUUUUAAAUGUUGUAUUUUGAAGAGUUUUAUAUUUGAAGGGGUCUCAAUAUUUUCUGACAUGAGGACUUGUGUUGUAAUGUGCAUGACCCAUCUAGGCUUUGAAAACGUGAUAUGAUGGGCAGUUGUGUAUAUUUAUGAGAGUUAUUUCAUUUCAAUAACCAAAAAAAUUUCCUUUAUUUCCAGAAAACUACAAAGAAUCUUGUACUGUAUUGUGGAUAUUUUUAACGGAUGCUAUCUUUGGCUUAUUUUAGUGGUUUUGUAGUAAACGGCUAACAAAAAUUUAAUUUUAUUAGUAUUUUGGCAGGAAAAAAAAACCCCAUUUGUAAAAACUUGUGAUCCCAAAUUGUUUUCAAAUUCAGUCUGACAAAUCGCAAAUAAAAAGUAAUUGCUUUACAGUACAAAUGUAUCUAUAUUUGACCUACUUCAAAUAAUAUGCAUAAUAUUAAUUAUACAAU